UACGUAGGGUGCGAGCGUUGUCCGGAAUUAUUGGGCGUAAAGAGCUUGUAGGCGGUUUGUCGCGUCUGCUGUGAAAAUCCGGGGCUCAACCCCGGACUUGCAGUGGGUACGGGCAGACUAGAGUGUGGUAGGGGAGACUGGAAUUCCCGGUGUAGCGGUGAAAUGCGCAGAUAUCAGGAGGAACACCGAUGGCGAAGGCAGGUCUCUGGGCCAUAACUGACGCUGAGAAGCGAAAGCAUGGGGAGCGAACAGG
rnacentral:rRNA from 1 species